rnacentral:misc_RNA from 1 species
GCUUUCUUUUGAGAAUGCCCUGAAAGUUCCACCGAUUGUUACAGAGUCUGGUAUAACAUUAAACGCGCCACCACCUUUGAACUUUGCAACUGUAACAACCUGUGAAUCCAAGGGAUCAGUUUCCCGCGAAACAAGAUGUUGUAAACUAACUACGAUGUUAGAAGCUGCUAAUAUUGGAUCUAUAGUGUGCUGAGGAAUUGCGGCAUGACCGCCUUUCCCCUUUAUUACUGCCUCAAAGAAGCCACUUCCAGCCAUGAUAGGGCCAGAACUGGC